rnacentral:rRNA from 1 species
GGUGAAGCCCAGCUUGCUGGGUGGAUCAGUGGCGAACGGGUGAGUAACACGUGAGCAACCUGCCCUCCACUUCGGGAUAAGCCCUGGAAACGGGGUCUAAUACCGGAUAUGAGCUCGCAUCGCAUGGUGUGGGUUGGAAAGUUUUUCGGUGGGGGAUGGGCUCGCGGCCUAUCAGCUUGUUGGUGGGGUGAUGGCCUACCAAGGCGUCGACGGGUAGCCGGCCUGAGAGGGCGACCGGCCACACUGGGACUGAGACACGGCCCAGACUCCUACGGGAGGCAGCAGUGGGGAAUAUUGCACAAUGGGCGCAAGCCUGAUGCAGCGACGCCGCGUGAGGGAUGACGGCCUUCGGGUUGUAAACCUCUUUCAGCAGGGAAGAAGCGCAAGUGACGGUACCUGCAGAAGAAGCGCCGGCUAACUACGUGCCAGCAGCCGCGGUAAUACGUAGGGCGCAAGCGUUGUCCGGAAUUAUUGGGCGUAAAGAGCUCGUAGGCGGUCUGUCGCGUCUGGUGUGAAAUCCCGAGGCUCAACCUCGGGCUUGCAUCGGGUACGGGCAGACUAGAGUGCGGUAGGGGAGACUGGAAUUCCUGGUGUAGCGGUGGAAUGCGCAGAUAUCAGGAGGAACACCGAUGGCGAAGGCAGGUCUCUGGGCCGCAACUGACGCUGAGGAGCGAAAGCAUGGGGAGCGAACAGGAUUAGAUACCCUGGUAGUCCAUGCCGUAAACGUUGGGCACUAGGUGUGGGGCUCAUUCCACGAGUUCCGUGCCGCAGCUAACGCAUUAAGUGCCCCGCCUGGGGAGUACGGCCGCAAGGCUAAAACUCAAAGGAAUUGACGGGGGCCCGCACAAGCGGCGGAGCAUGCGGAUUAAUUCGAUGCAACGCGAAGAACCUUACCAAGGCUUGACAUGUACGAGAAAGCCCCCGAGACGGGGUUCUCUUUGGACACUCGUACACAGGUGGUGCAUGGUUGUCGUCAGCUCGUGUCGUGAGAUGUUGGGUUAAGUCCCGCAACGAGCGCAACCCUCGUCCUAUGUUGCCAGCGGGUUAUGCCGGGGACUCAUGGGAGACUGCCGGGGUCAACUCGGAGGAAGGUGGGGAUGACGUCAAAUCAUCAUGCCCCUUAUGUCUUGGGCUUCACGCAUGCUACAAUGGCCGGUACAGAGGGCUGCGAUACCGUAAGGUGGAGCGAAUCCCAAAAAGCCGGUCUCAGUUCGG